UUUCUCAGGAGAAAACUCACAACAGAAUGAAAAUAAAGAGCUGACGAGAUAGUAGUUUGAAAAAUUCAUUCAAGAACCUGCAAAGUCACCAACAAGAGCUGGAAAUAAACACAUCUGGGAAGACAAAUUCCUUAACUGCUCAGUGCUGAAGGACAUGGUCCCAUUGUUUCUUGGUUAGCUCAGUUUCUUCUGUUGCUGCAUGGAACAAGUUCUAUCCUUUGGUUCCCAGUUUGUCACUACUGCCACUGAGGAUGUGGGAAAAUACUGCACAUCUAAAACUGUGACACUGAAAAGAACAGCUGACCUUCAUAAUAAAUAAUGUAAAACAUUUGUUCACUUGA